rnacentral:tRNA from 1 species
GGGCCUGUAGCUCAGCCCGGUUAGAGCGCACGCCUGAUAAGCGUGAGGUCGGUGGUUCGAGUCCACUCAGGCCCACCA